rnacentral:rRNA from 1 species
CGGCGGACGGGUGAGUAACACGUGGAUAACCUACCUAUAAGACUGGGAUAACUUCGGGAAACCGGAGCUAAUACCGGAUAAUAUUUUGAACCGCAUGGUUCAAAAGUAAAAGACGGUCUUGCUGUCACUUAUAGAUGGAUCCGCGCUGCAUUAGCUAGUUGGUAGGGUAACGGCUUACCAAGGCAACGAUGCAUAGCCGACCUGAGAGGGUGAUCGGCCACACUGGAACUGAGACACGGUCCAG